AAAGAGCUAAAUAAUUAAUAAAGUUAUUGUAUUAAAAUUAUUUUUAAUAAUUAUUUUGAAAUGAAAUGUUAUUCGUUUUUAAAUAUAUCUAGUUUUUUCAGAAAAAAAUUUAAUUUUAAAAUUAAUUUGUUUAUCAUAAAUUAAUUAAUUAAUUUAUUUUAAAUUAAUUUUUAUAUUUUAGGGGAUAAGCUUUAAAUUAAAUAUUUAUAAAAUAAAUUUUUAUUUUUAAAAAUUUUAUAAUUUAUAUUGUUAAUAAAUUUUAUUUUAUUAUAAAUAAUUUUAAAUUAAAUAAAAUUUAAUUUAAUUUUAAUUUUAUAUGAAAAAAUAAAUUUUAAUUUAAUAAAUUUAAAAAUAAUGAUAAAAUUAGUAUAUUAUUUAAUUAUAUAAUAAAAAUUAUUUAAAAAUUUUUUAUUUAUUAAUUUAAUUAAUUAAAAGGAAUUCGGCAAAUAUUUAUAUUCACCUGUUUAACAAAAACAUGUCUUUUAGAAUUUAAUUUAAAGUCUAAUCUGCCCACUGAUUUAAAAAUUAAAGGGCUGCAGUAUUUUGACUGUACAAAGGUAGCAUAAUCAUUAGUCUCUUAAUUGGUGACUUGUAUGAAAGAUUGGAUGAAAUAUAUACUGUCUCUUAAUUAAUAUAUAGAAUUUAAUUUUUUAUUUAAAAAGUUAAAAUAUUUUAAAAAGACGAGAAGACCCUAUAGAGUUUUAUAAAUAAAUUUAUUAAUUUAUUAUUUAUAAUUUAAAAAAUUAUUAUAAUUUUAUUUAUUUUAUUGGGGUGAUAAAAAAAUAAAAUUAACUUUUUUUAAAUUAAAACAUAAAUAAGUGAUUAAAUGAUCCAUUAAUAAUGAUUAUAAGAUUAAAUUACCUUAGGGAUAACAGCGUAAUUUUUUUUUUUAGUUCAAAUAAGAAAAAGAGUUUGCGACCUCGAUGUUGGAUUAAGAUAAAAUUUAAAUGCAAAAGUUUAAAAUUUUUG
rnacentral:rRNA from 1 species